AAGUCGUAACAAGGUUUCCGUAGGUGAACCUGCGGAAGGAUCAUUAACACUUAAAAAUCCGUAUGUCUUUUAAACAUCCGUUUUCUAGACAUUUCAACCCCCCUUCUUUUGCGAACUAAACGAGGAUUUAUUUCUUCGUCUUUUUUUUUCUUUUCUAUUUUUCUUUCAAAAACCCCAAAUUACAAUAUUUUAGACUGAAACUUUUAUAUUUAUUUAUUUUUUUUUCGAAAGAGAAAAAAAUAAUAAUAUUUAAAAAAAAAACAAAAUGCUAUACAACUCUUAACAACGGAUAUCUUGGUUCUC
rnacentral:misc_RNA from 1 species